UCGAUCGUAGCUAUUUUAUCGAUCGUUUAUAUCGAUCAACAAAGCAAUAAUCACCCUUGUAAUAACCUGCAGAAAGACACGGCCGUCCAUGAAAUUCAGGGCAGAAAAACACCACCACAGCGUUAGCGCCUCACAGGGGCGCGGAAUAACACACAUGCCGGUAUCCACACACUGUGGGUACCGGCUUUUUAUUUACA
rnacentral:sRNA from 1 species